rnacentral:lncRNA from 1 species
UGACUUUUCCAACUGAGGACCAGAAUCAGGGGUCAGUAGACUGAGAGCCCCUGCGCUGCUCAGCUGCCUCUCUCCUCUCUCUCGAUCUCAUCUGUGUGCUGAUGUGCCUGACAAGACCACCGUCUGAGACUCCUUGGGGCAACAAAGUGAAAAGACUGAAGCAGAAUAUAUACUCAGAAACAGCCGAACAAAAGAGCAAUAAGAGGUAUGAGGUCUUUUAGCUCUCUGGACAAAGGGAACAUAUGUUCAGAAGACCGAAGGUUCACCAGCUGUGUCCACUCCAAGGACAGCCAGCCCAGCCAGAUAGAAGUAAGAGUAACUACGGGCUUCCCUGGCAAUCCAGACGAGAAGACUCCAUGCUUCCACUGCAGGGGCGUGAGACUGACCCUUGGUUGGGGAACUGAGAUCUUGUACGCCAUGUGGUGCACCCAACAGAGAGAAAGAAGAGCAACCAGAGAAAGAUCUCCGGGGACUAACAGGGUUUGCUGUUAGGGCGCUGCUCUUCUGCAGGUUCUCCACCAACUCUGCAGCCACCUGGGACUCCUGCUUGGAUUUGCUCUUUUAUACGGUCUCCCUCAGUGGUUCUGACGGAUGAUUCUGCCUAAAGCAACCAAAAUGACUCUCCAGAAAGUAGCAACAGAACUGUUUUCUUAGCUCUGCUCAACUCACAUUGAUAUCCUUUGCUAACAUCACUUCCUGCCCCACCUCACAGUUCUCUCUUGAUAUUCCAUACAUAACUUGCCUAAAAAACAUUUUUGCUCUGUUUGUCAAAUAAUCUAGAAGCCAUAAAUUCAUAUUUACCUUUCAUAGGUGAAAGACUGUGGUAAAAGUUGAGCGUUUCCG